UAUGAUUAUGCCACCGAGACGAAAACAAAAACCAGCCGUGGAAGAUCAACCAGAUAAUCGAACGACGAACGCCAAAGACUUUAAGGCAAUCCUAUUGCUAGGGUAUAGAGGAUUAAGUGACUCAGUAGAAGCGUUUAUGAUAGUUAGGAUAACGAAAAGGGCAAAAGAUAACUUUUAUCACCUACACGAUAAAAGGGAAAUGAGAUAAAGAAAAAGUUUGUGUGCUUUGUGUGAGGGCAGAAGAGACAUAUCUCCAAUUGUCUCAAUUCAAUGAUGUAUAGCGAACGUUUUAUUUGUGAAUCAAUGGAGUAUAAGGUGAAAGAUUAUUAAAGAAGGAGAAGUGAGAUAAGGAAUGCGAAUACGAGCAAUGACAGCAAGAUAUAGGCGACAACGAAAUAAACCGUAAGUGUCUUCAUUAUGGUCGUUCAAGAUAUCGUAGCAGUUGAGGAUACUGUGGCAGUUAGAAAUGGAACUCCAGGUUCUAUUCGAAUAACUUAAAUAUUUUAUAUGAUUUUCCUGUAUAAAAUAUAGCUAUAUAGAUAGUAAAAUAUUUCAUAAAGAAAUUUUGAAGGAGGAAUUUUGGUUCUCUUAAUCAAAAUUCUGUUUAUCAGAAAGACAAGCGUUAUGGAGAAUAGUUAAAGAUCAGUUCGAUCAAGCAUUGAUCGUGGUCUAUGUGCAAGGAUUAUAUGCGUUAUGUACUCUUCUAUGUAUGAGUUUUAAAGCGGUGAUUCCGGGGACGGAAUCCUUAU
rnacentral:lncRNA from 1 species